CUUCGUAAUCUCCAUCAGUACUUUUUUCUUUUGUUUUUUUUUUUCUGAGAGAGAUCCAUCAGUACUUCGUAAUAUCCGUAAUAAUCUACGGAGGAACAAAAAGAAAAAGCUCUACAUCUGAGAUUUCUUUACUUUAAGAAAAAAAUUCCCCUAAAAAAUCUUUUGAUUUCGUUAAGCCUAACCAGUUUCUAAUGGAAGAUUUUUACUGCUCUUUUGUUCUUCAUCAAAUCAUGAGUUUCUGUUACUAUUCUACUCUGAUUUUUCAGAUAAGUUAUUAACACGAUUUGGAUUUCGUUUAAUCGAAGAUAAAAAUUGUUGUUAGGGUUUCUAUAGAUUAUUAUUGUUAAUCGAUGUUUGCCCUAAUUUCUAUUUUCAGGUUGAAAAAAACAGUUGGUGUAUUUCAAGGAUUAAUUUGCAAUCAGAUCUGGAUAUAUUUAACACCUGGUGAAAGAACAGUGGGGUUUCAUUCACAGCCAAAUCAAGCUUUCCAAGCUUUUGCUUUGUUGCAAGAUAGCCCUGAAGUCCAGAUUGAAAGAAACAAUUAGUACGAUUUAAAAGAUUCAUUUGCAAUCACAUCAGAAUGUCAGAUGUAAUUCCAAAAGAUUGGAUGGAUGAAAGUGAUAUUUUUAGUAAAGUUUAUCGAGAUGGGGUUAGAUACUUUAUUAGUUUUGCUGUAAGAUAUGGUUACUCGAAGUCGAUAUGUGCCUGCCCUUGUAAUAAGUGCCGAAAUAGAAAUAAUCUGGAAAUUGAAAAAGUUCGGCAACAUCUGUUAGAGAAGGGUAUAAACAAGAGGUACCGUAUGUGGGCUUUUCAUGGCGAGAAAUCAAGUAAUAGAAGCACAGUAGGUUCAGUCCAAGAGGAAAACAUCAGCGAACCAAACAGGGAGGAAGGUGUGCCUGAAAUGAGAAGAUUGGUUGAUGUUGCAUUUGGAGUGCAUGAAAUGCCAGAUGAUGACAUUAGUAAUGACGAGGCAGGUCAGUUAGAAUCUUUAGUUGUAGAACCCGAACCUCGAAGUAACCUUUUCACAGAAGUUCAGAACAUUCAAAUACCAGCUUCGACAGAAUUAUUUCAAGAUAGCCAGAGGUAAAGCACAAAUUGAAGCAGCUAUUCAAGAUGGUUUGGAUCCAAAUGCGUGGAAAAGCAAAGAGGAUAUUCUAGCAAACAUUCUGAUGGGGGUUACUCCAAGUAAUUGGACCGCUUUCGUUGAGAAUGAGUUCAAAGAAGGAGUCAAAGAAAGCCAUAAAAAGAAAUCAGAGAACAAAAAGAAAUGCACAAUCCCUCAUACUCUUGGGAGGCGUACCUAUGCGAAGAAAUGUCAUCUCCGUGUAUGUUGUAUACACUCCUCAAUUAUAUUAGUUGUUUUGAAAUUAUAUUUUUUUAUGGUUAUACAACAAAUAUGGAUUCAAAUGAGUAGGCAGAAGAGGAUGGGAUGGUUACAGAGGAUCGCGAAUACGCUUGGAUGAAGGGUCAGUCAUGAAAAACGCGAUGGAACUGUUCAUCCAUCAGCAGUUGAAAAAUAUGUAGGAACAAGUCAAAGCUGCCUAUGAGAAGCGAAAAAAGGGAGGAACUGACUGCUCAUAUGAUUUUGGUUCUGAUGGUUUAGUUGAUGUCUUUGGCCCAGAUAAGGGUAAAAGGUCUUUAUGUGGCUUUUCCUCCAGUGUUUCUGCGAAGCGUGCUAAACAAGCAUUCCUGACUGCUUCUCUUCGCGAUUCUACAGUUAACAAUUGCAACUCCGCUGUCGUCGGAUUGAAAAAGGUCAUGGCACAAAAUAUAUCCAGUGACCAUCCGACAAGCGAAGAAACAAUCUUGGAUGAUUCUUGUAACCCUAACUCUGAGUUCCCUCCUGACUUCACUCCAGAAAAUCAUGCUUUUACCAGGAAUUUAGAUCCCAUGUCAGAGCCACAACCUUUCGACAAUUCUGGUUAUGAAGAGUCUUCAUAUCAGGGUGUGAAUUUGUUGGACAGGAAUGGAAAAAUAGUGCAGCUGGAUAUGUGGUAACCGGUUUGGAAGGUGAAGUCUGUCACCACAGAAUUGUCCAAAAGAACGAGAGUAAAGUUUGCAUAGAACGUGUCUACGAUGAUUAUGCACCAAUUUGGGACCCUCCUCAAGGUGAUGACUUCUAUAAGCUAUCUUCUUAUUUUGCUGGUGGUUGGAUAAUAUGGCAUAAGAAGCGUCUGCAAUCUACAAAUUAAACAUUGUGUACCUUGUUACAGAUCAGUACUGUUAGUUUCUAUUGUUUAGUGUUUUAAGAGUGUAUUGGGGGUAUCCAGUGGAUGUUGAAACAUAUUUCUUUUUAUUAAUUUAAUUUCUAUCAUCUA